UACGGAGGGUGCAAGCGUUGCUCGGGAUUAUUGGGCGUAAAGGGUAGGUAGGUGGUCUCAUUUGUCUGGGGUGAAAGCCUUGGGCUUAACUCAAGAAGUGCCCCAGAAACGGUGAGACUGGAGUCCUGGAGAGGGUCGUGGAAUUCCCGGUGUAGCGGUGAAAUGCGUAGAGAUCGGGAGGAACACCAGAGGCGAAGGCGGCGACCUGGACAGGUACUGACACUCAACUACGAAAGCGUGGGGAGCAAACAGG
rnacentral:rRNA from 1 species